rnacentral:rRNA from 1 species
CCCGUGCCCUGUCCAGAGCACCCCUGUGAACCCUGAUGAAGAGAGGCUGUCUGAGUCCCACGAUAAUCGUUAAAACUUUCAACAAUGGAUCUCUUGGUUCCGGCAUCGAUGAAGAACGCAGCGAAAUGCGAUAAGUAAUGUGAAUUGCAGAAUUCCGUGAAUCAUCGAAUCUUUGAACGCACAUUGCGCCCCCUGGCAUUCCGGGGGGCAUGCCUGUCCGAGCGUCAUUUCUGCCCUCAAGCGCGGCUUGUGUGUUGGGCGUGGUCCCCCUGGCUUUGGCGGGGACCUGCCCGAAAGGCAGCGGCGACGUCCCGCCUAGUCCUCGAGCGUAUGGGGCUCUGUCACGCGCUCGGGAGGGACUGGUGGGCGUUGGCCACCCCUUAUUCUUUCUACGGUUGACCUCGGAUCAGGUAGGAGUUACCCGCUGAACUUAAGCAUAUCAAUAAGCGGAGGAAUA